rnacentral:tRNA from 1 species
GUGCCGGUGGUGUAACGGGGUAGAGCAUUCCCGUCUGGUCAGCUGGAGAUACGGGUUCGAGUCCCGCCUGGCGCU